GAUGAACGCUGGCGGCGUGCCUAAUACAUGCAAGUCGAGCGAAUGGAUUAAGAGCUUGCUCUUAUGAAGUUAGCGGCGGACGGGUGAGUAACACGUGGGUAACCUGCCCAUAAGACUGGGAUAACUCCGGGAAACCGGGGCCAAUACCGGAUAACAUUUUGAACCGCAUGGUUCGAAAUUGAAAGACGGCUUCGGCUGUCACUUAUGGAUGGACCCGCGUCGCAUUAGCUAGUUGGUGAGGUAACGGCUCACCAAGGCAACGAUGCGUAGCCGACCUGGGAGGGUGAUCGGCCACACUGGGACUGAGACACGGCUCAGACUCCUACGGGAGGCAGCAGUAGGGAAUCUUCCGCAAUGGACGAAAGUCUGACGGAGCAACGCCGCGUGAGUGAUGAAGGCUUUCGGGUCGUAAAACUCUGUUGUUAGGGAAGAACAAGUGCUAGUUGAAUAAGCUGACACCUUGACGGUACCUAACCAGAAAGCCACGGCUAACUACGUGCCAGCCGCCGCAGUAA
rnacentral:rRNA from 1 species